GGCCUUUUGAUAAUAAUUUAAGGUUUAACCUGCCCAAUGAGGAUUUAAAUGGCCGCGGUAUUUUGACCGUGCAAAGGUAGCAUAAUCAUUAGUUUUUUAAUUGAAAGCUGGUAUGAAAGGUUGGAUGAGAAAAUAGCUGUCUCUGCUUUAACUAUUUAGAAUUUUAUUUUUAAGUAAAAAAGCUUAAAUUUUAGUAGAAGACGAGAAGACCCUAUAGAGUUUUAUUUAUUUUUUGUUUAAAAUUUUAAGUAUUGAAAAUUUUUAUGUUUAAAAUAAAUUUAAUUGGGGUGAUUGAAAAAUUUAUUAAACUUUUUUUUUAUAUAAUCAUUAAUUUAUGAGUUUUUGAUCCUUUUAUAAAGAUUAUAAGAUUAAAUUACCUUAGGGAUAACAGCGUAAUUUUUUUAAAGAGUUCAAAUCGAAAAAAAAGAUUGCGACCUCGAUGUUGGAUUAAAAUAAAAUUUUGGUGUAGAAGCUAAGAUAUUUAGGUCUGUUCGACCUUUAAAAUUUUACAUGAUCUGAGUUUAAACCGGUGUGAGCCAGGUUGGUUUCUAUCUCUACUUUGUUAUAAUAUUUUAGUACGAAAGGACCAAGUAUUAGUUUGAUAAAUUUAUUUUAAAAUAAUAUU
rnacentral:rRNA from 1 species